rnacentral:rRNA from 1 species
UGAGGAAUAUUGCGCAAUGGACGAAAGUCUGACGCAGCGACGCCGCGUGGAGGAUGAAGGUUUUCGGAUUGUAAACUCCUGUUAAGUGGGAAGAAAUCCUUGUUUCUAAUACAGACGAGGGAUGACGGUACCAUUAGAGAAAGCACCGGCUAACUUCGUGCCAGCAGCCGCGGUAAUACGAGGGGUGCGAGCGUUAUUCGGAAUCAUUGGGCGUAAAGGGUGCGUAGGCGGCAAAUUAAGUCGGCUGUUAAAUUUCCUGGCCUAACCAGGAACAUGCGGUCGAUACUGAUAUGCUAGAGGAUGGAAGAGAGAAGUGGAAUUCUCGGAGUAGCGGUAAAAUGCGUAGAUCUCGAGAGGAACACCGAUGGCGAAGGCAGCUUCUUGGUCCAUAUCUGACGCUGAGUGCACGAAAGCGUGGGGAGCAAACAGG